UCUCGGCAACGGAUAUCUCGGCUCUCGCAUCGAUGAAGAACGUAGCGAAAUGUGAUACCUGGUGUGAAUUGCAGAAUCCCGUGAACCAUCGAGUCUUUGAACGCAAGUUGCGCCCGAGGCCAUCCGGCUAAGGGCACGCCUGCCUGGGCGUCACG
rnacentral:rRNA from 1 species